AGUGCGCAAGACACAGACGUCUGCUAUUGUAUCGUCUGCCCACAGUAAAACUUACCGAAGACAGAAAUAGGUCAACAGUCGAACAAUCUUAGGUGUCGUCGCCCUAACUAAAGAUUUAACUGUUGUGAUUCUUCAAUUUAACUAAACUUUAAGAUGGAUUCGUUCUCGCGGGAUUUCACAUAGAUUUCUACGCGAGACAUUUCACACAGUUUUCUAUGCGAGACAUUUCACACAGUUUUCUCUGAAUAUUGUGUAAACCAUAUCGGAUUGCAUAUCAAAUCUUAGGAUUAGACACUGCUACGCUUCUUUUAUCAACUUGAUCAACAUAGCACCAACAUUAUCAACAUUCUAUCAACACCCGCUACCCAGCAAGGCUUGAGAGAGGUCUUGGUUGACUCGGUUGGUGUACUGCUAGAAGUCAACUAUUAGAGGUGAGCUGUAACAGGUGAACUGAAGUAAACU